CCGUGACGAAGUUAACACAUUAAGCACCCCGCCUGGGGAGUACGGUCGCAAGACUAAAACUCAAAGGAAUUGACGGGGGCCCGCACAAGCGGCGGAGCAUGCGGAUUAAUUCGAUGCAACGCGAAGAACCUUACCAAGGCUUGACAUAUAGAGGAAACGUGCAGAAAUGUACGCCCCGCAAGGUCUCUAUACAGGUGGUGCAUGGUUGUCGUCAGCUCGUGUCGUGAGAUGUUGGGUUAAGUCCCGCAACGAGCGCAACCCUCGUCCUAUGUUGCCAGCACGUAAUGGUGGGAACUCAUGGGAGACUGCCGGGGUCAACUCGGAGGAAGGUGGGGAUGACGUCAAAUCAUCAUGCCCCUUAUGUCUUGGGCUUCACGCAUGCUACAAUGGCCAGUACAAAGGGCUGCAAUACCGUAAGGUGGAGCGAAUCCCAAAAAGCUGGUCUCAGUUCGGAUUGAGGUCUGCAACUCGACCUCAUGAAGUCGGAGUCGCUAGUAAUCGCAGAUCAGCAACGCUGCGGUGAAUACGUUCCCGGGCCUUGUACACACCGCCCGUCAAGUCACGAAAGUCGGUAACACCCGAAGCCGGUGGCCUAACCGUAAGGAAGGGAGCCGUCGAAGGUG
rnacentral:rRNA from 1 species